AAAAUUAAUCUAACUUUUAGGUCACUGUUAGGUGAGAAAAAUUAACCUAACUUUUAGGCCACUGUUAGGUGUGCAAAAAUUAACCUAACUAACGUUUAGGCCAUCUUUAGGUGUGCGCCAAAAUUAACUAAGCUAAUGUUUAGGCCAUUGUUAGGUGUGCGCCAAAAUUAACCAAGAUAACGUUUAGGCCACUGUUAGGUGUGCACGAAAAUUAACCAAGCUAACGUUUAGGCCACUGUUAGGUGUGCAUGAAAAUUAACCAAGCUAACGUUUAGACCACUGUUAGGUGUGCACGAAAAUUAACCAAGCUAACAUUUAGACCACCGUUAGGUGUGCAUGAAAAUUAGCCUAACGUUUAUGCCACUAUUAUGUGUGCGAAAAUUAACCUAAUGUUAGGUGUGCGAAAAUUUACAAGUUUGUCACUUUA